UACGAAGGGGGCUAGCGUUGUUCGGAAUUAUUGGGCGUAAAGCGCACGUAGGCGGCUUAGCAAGUCGGAUGUGAAAUCCCUCGGCUCAACCAAGGAAGUGCAUCCGAAACUGCUGAGCUUGAGUACGAAAGAGGAUCGCGGAAUUCCCGGUGUAGAGGUGAAAUUCGUAGAUAUCGGGAGGAACACCAGUGGCGAAGGCGGCGAUCUGGGUCGAUACUGACGCUGAGGUGCGAAAGCGUGGGGAGCGAACAGG
rnacentral:rRNA from 1 species